rnacentral:rRNA from 1 species
UACGAAGGGGGCUAGCGUUGCUCGGAAUUACUGGGCGUAAAGGGCGCGUAGGCGGAUAUUUAAGUUGGGGGUGAAAUCCCGGGGCUCAACCUCGGAACUGCCUUUGAUACAGCACGUCUCGAGUCCGGAAGAGGUGGGUGGAAUUCCUAGUGUAGAGGUGAAAUUCGUAGAUAUUAGGAAGAACACCGGUGGCGAAGGCGGCCCACUGGUCCGGUACUGACGCUGAGGUGCGAAAGCGUGGGGAGCAAACAGG